rnacentral:rRNA from 1 species
AGUGAACGCUGGCGGUAGGCCUAACACAUGCAAGUCGAACGGCAGCACAGUAAGAGCUUGCUCUUACGGGUGGCGAGUGGCGGACGGGUGAGGAAUACAUCGGGAUCUACUCUUUCGUGGGGGAUAACGUAGGGAAACUUACGCUAAUACCGCAUACGACCUACGGGUGAAAGCAGGGGAUCUUCGGACCUUGCGCGAUUGAAUGAGCCGAUGUCGGAUUAGCUAGUUGGCGGGGUAAAGGCCCACCAAGGCGACGAUCCGUAGCUGGUCUGAGAGGAUGAUCAGCCACACUGGAACUGAGACACGGUCCAGACUCCUACGGGAGGCAGCAGUAGGGAAUAUUGGACAAUGGGCGCAAUCCUGAUCCAGCCAUACCGCGUGGGUGAAGAAGGCCUUCGGGUUGUAAAGCCCUUUUGUUGGGAAAGAAAAGCAGCAGGUUAAUACCCCGCUGUUCUGACGGUACCCAAAGAAUAAGCACCGGCUAACUUCGUG